GACGAACGCUGGCGGCGUGCUUAACACAUGCAAGUCGAACGGAAAGGCCCUGCUUUUGUGGGGUGCUCGAGUGGCGAACGGGUGAGUAACACGUGAGUAACCUGCCCUUGACUUUGGGAUAACUUCAGGAAACUGGGGCUAAUACCGGAUAGGAUCUCCUGCUGCAUUGUGGGGGUUGGAAAUUUUCGGCGGUUGGGGAUGGACUCGCGGCUUCUCAGCUUGUUGGUGGGGUAGUGGCUUACCAAGGCUUUGACGGGUAGCCGGCAUGAGAGGGUGACCGGCCAAAGUGGGACUGAGAGACGGCCCAGACGCCAACGGGAGGCAGCAGUGGGGAAUAUUGCACAAUGGGCGGAAGCCUGAGGCAGCAACGCCGCGUGCGGGAUGACGGCCUUCGGGUUGUAAACCGCUUUCGCCUGUGACGAAGCGGGAGUGACGGUAAUGGGUAAAGAAGCACCGGCUAACUACGUG
rnacentral:rRNA from 1 species